ensembl:snoRNA
AUGCAUCUAUUUGACAGACCUGGAGUAGUUACUAUUUGCUAGUAAGGUUUCCAGGUGCAAGAAAAAUGAAUCCUCUCCCUGUCUGUCUCUCUGACUGUGGCAGCCAGGAUUGAAUUGGGGAAUACAGUA